GCAGUACGUUCCUGGUUAAGCCCUGUGCAUGGAUAUUACAGCUCAGUUUUGCCAUUCAGCAUCCCAAGUGCACUGUAGGAAAUUACCAUCAUGUAUCUGAGAAAAAAGCCAGAUUACACAAUGGACUGUUCCAUUGAUGACUUGUUUUCCACAGGCAAACUUUCUCCAUUAGGAAGAGCCAGCUUAAUGAUUUUGAAAACCACAGCUACAAAUCCAGAUCCACUGUCCUACUGAUUUUGGUAGGAAGCCACCACCUCUUACAAAAAUGUGCUACACGACUGCUCUGACUCGUGAUUUAAUGAUUCUCUGGAUGAAUGACUGUUGUGUCUGCAGACAAAUCCUAUUGUUCACACAAAGAGAGUCUGUCCCAAAAGUGUUGGACUCUGUGCAUGUGUUGAAACUGUUCUAAAUACACAGAGCUGUUUAUUGAAUUGGAGGCUCAUGCCUAGAACAAUAGAAUUUAGGCAAUAGGUCAGACACAGAGCAUGAUUUUUUUUUUCCCUUUUGGAUCUGUCAAAAUUACAUGGUCUGCAAAACAUACCACUGGAAAAAGUUUGAGUCUCAUUGACAUUGAUUGGGUGAUUAUAUGGUGCUAUAAAGUACUAAGCAGAACUCAUGUAGUCCAUAAAGGCUAUGCAGGAUGGUAAUUUCAUUCAAGCUGAUUUAAAUGUUAUCUGAGUAUAUGUCAAUUGGACCAGGAUAUGUCUUUCUACAUCUCAGUCAUUUCCAAUUUUCUUGCCAGGAGAGAUUGACCAAUCUACUUUUCAUCUAGAACAGAAUGUUUCUUGGAGAGCCAAGAUUAAAAAGUGGAGGUCAGACUCACCAGUUUACUGAUUUUGGAGAUGGCAUAAAAUUUUCUUUCAAUUAGGCAACUACUUUAUCUUUGAUUGCCCUUAUCAUCACUAUGGCUUGCAAUAUAGCCAAUUCCUAACAAGAGUGAGAAACAGAAAAUCCCUUUUUCUCUAGUGAUUAAGAAUAUUGUAUGAAUGAAACUACUUCUGCCAAUAUUUUAUGAGACCCCUUAUGGAUCCAAAGAGAAAUGAAAACUCUUUAUUCAUUCCAGACUACAGCUAAGUAGCGAUCAAUUGUGUUUUGAAAUUUGCCUGUAAAUUACUGUAAAAGCUUUACUUACAAAUGGCAUUACAUUCUCCAUUAAAAUGAGUGUUGCUUUCAGUCAAAUGUAAUAAAAAUUAUGGAAACCUAGCUGGUCAAACAGAAAACCUAACUUUAUUCAUCAAUGAUUUCAAUAAAGUGUAUUUUUCUUUUUUUAUUGUUAGCAAAACAAAGCUAAUGUUUAUAAUUAAGGUAAUGGGUAAAUCAGUCAGAAUUAUUAAGUAGUGACCAGAUCCUAUUAGAAAAACUGCUUUUAGGAGUAGAAACUAAAAGCACUAAUUUGUCCCUGUAUUCCUUUUUCUUCUUCCUAAAAUGAAAGGGCAGGAAGUAAAUAGACAAACUCUUUACAGUGGCUUGCUAAAAUCCAUUUCUCAGAUUUUACAUCCUGAUAUUGAAGAUCAGAGGUCUAAGGAUCUUCCUGAGUUAGAGUCCUAAGGCUGUUCCUGCAUUGCUCCAGUGAGAAAAUGAAAGUGGCCACAGACUGUGUCACAUGUGUCUUUAACUGUUCCCUUAGUUCUAAGGUGUGGGUUACCUGAGGAUAAAAUAGCCAAAUUCUUUCCUGCUCUGUAGCAAGCACCAGUGACUUCUCUUAGAUGCUCUAUAAUUCAAAUAGAUGGACCCAGGGUCUUUGUCCACAGAUGCCUGAUAUUAUAGGGAAAUUAUUAACUCAGAAGUCUACACUGAAGUAAAUUAAAACCAGAAGAAUCUGGAAUAAAUUUGUGAAAUACAUCCCAGAUAUUUUUUUACCCUGUCAUAACUUCUGAUACUGGAUAAGAAGUUGAAAAUGCUGAUGGGCGCUUUAAAACAUGAAGGACUUAAGUCAUCUUUGAUUUGCAUAGAGAGAGAAUGUAUAGAAUAUUAUCCUCCUGGUGAAGUAGUUUUACCACUGGUUUUGAGUGGAAAAUGCUUUUGUCCACUACUUCAUUGAACAUGUGUAUUUCAUAGUGUAGUGAUGACAUUGCAUGAUGGAACCAUCCUGAUAUGGUAAAUUCUUAGCCCACGGCUCUUGCUGAAGAGACAUUUUAAAGUGCUAAGCCUCUCAAAAAUUCAGCAUUUUCAUUUCCAAUUUGCUUUAUUUUAGGAGCUAUGAAGUAAAUUGCUGUUGCUGUUAUUGUAGCCACACACCUGAUCCUGCUUCCCUUGGCCCUUUGUCCCUGAUUCAUUUACAACUGUGACACAUUCAGUGUGAGAGGCAGAUGAAUAACUUGAGACAAAGGUGUGAUGGAAGGGUUCUGGGGUUAUGCAAUCAACAGCAUUUUGCAUUUUGUUUAACCUGUUCUGGUGGUGGUACUUCUGCAUUUCACAGAUUCCUGCGGGUAAAAGCUCUCUCAACCUUAAAGGGCUUCCAUUUUGAGUGAACUCUGUGACCUGUUCAGUUUUUUUCCAUAUACUAUUUUGAAAAUGAACCUUUCUGAUAAAAUCACUUGUUGCUCAGCAGGUGAUUGCUGCACUUCCUGGUGUAAAAUUCUGAUUUAUGCUUACUGUCAAUUCUUUAGCAUUUAAAAACCAGCAAUAAAACAAGGAGAUACAUCCAUGGCACCAGAAUAUCUAUCAGUUCUUAAAUUAUUUUGAAACUCUUCUUGUAUUUAAUGUUUUCAGAGGUAACCAGGAUCUCCAUGCUUAUAAGUGUCUAUACACACUGACAGAUUUUAGUUAAAUCUUUAGGUUAUUUCAUCACUUCUUUCAGAUGAUGUAGAAAUAAAAAAUCAAUUAUGAAGUUUUUGUGUCAACAUAACAGUAGUAGUAGUAGUAAUAACAAUAACAGUAUUUAUUUUAAAAAGCAAAAAUCUAGAUACAUAAAAAAAAUUGGAAUACUAAAGCUAUUGGAUCUGUGCUAUUGGAGGACUCAUUGAAGGGCAGCAGUUAAACUACGAAGGAGCUUUUGAAUACCAAACACAGCAGGAAGUUUUUUACUUUCAGAUGUAAUAUUGUUGCUGAAAAAUAUCUUUGUCUUUAUAUGAAUAACCUUAAAUAGCUAUUCUCCCUGCUUGCUACUUAUGAACAAUACUUGAGAAAAUAGGUUUUUAAAGUGUAUGGAUUACCAGAGCUCUCCAUUUUAACAGUUGGAGACAAUUAACUCAUUGACUGAAGAGGAAGAUUCAAAAUGUCCAUUAUUUAAUGGCUUGCUAUAGCUACUAAGUCUGUGGAUUUUUAGAACAAACCAAUUUUCCUUUCUUAAAUAUGUGCAAACAUUUAUUCUUUGGCUUAACUAGUCACUAGUAAAAUAGAAGUAACUAAUACAUACAGCCACUUAGGGUACUGUGGUGAGUAUGUUUAUAGACAUUUUGAAAGCAGACAAUUCAUAGAAAUUAAUUUAAAAGGAAUUUGUAUGUCAAAAGUCCAACAUGUUCUAUGUGGAAAAUGGAAUCAAGAUUCAGAAGUGCAAAUCCCAAGGUCUUGUAGAGUUAAGCACUUUUUGAGUAAGACUGUUGACAGGAAAGAAAAAAAAGGAGAUGUCUAGAUAACUUCAGAAAGACAGAAAUAAUGUUAGUGGUUAUUGCUUUUGGCUAAGUAAGCAGUUUUUUAAUAUUUAAAAGAAUAGACAUUAGCCUAUAUAUUUAAAUUGUUUGUUUUUCAUAUUUUCCUCUUCAUACAACUAAUUUCAUCUCCUAGGAAAAAAACAAUGUCUUUGUUUAAGAUGUGAUAAAGAAAAUUGCAUUUUUAGUUUUUGUAAGUAUGUUGACCAGAUGUCCUUGAAUUUAAUUUAUUAAAGCCAACACUCUUGGAGUUGCUAAAUAAUUUAUAGAGACAUCAUUGCAGAAUUUUGCAUUUGGUGACUUAUUGAAUCAUUUUUUAUUAAUACAUGACUUUUAAUUAAAUAUUUAAAGCUUCACUACCGUAUCUAAUUUCUUUAGGAAAAAAAUAUCUUGUAAUCAAUAUGUUUCAAAUAUCAUAUCAAUAAUCACAACACAUUGUGGUGCUAUUUCAUGCUCACAGACAUUUCUGUCAUUAUUCCAAUGAAAUGAAGUAAUUUCUAAAUAGCACUUAACAUUCAAAAUGGUGGACAACAGAUGGACAUAAAUUUCAGUUUCUUAUUUCAUAAGAGAAUUAAUGUAAAAUUUAUAAUAUUUUAUUUUCCUAAAAAUCUAGCUAUUAAAUUUUUAAACUAUCAUAAAGUUAUAUUGUUCAGUUUUCUCUGUUUUGUUUUGGAUCUUGUUCACAUAAAUCAUCUUAUAGGCUCAAAUGCUCCUUGCUGAUGUUAAGCACUCAUUUUUAGGGUUUGACUGUGGAAUAAUCUGAAUUUUCAAAAACCAAGUAAACUAAUUUGGUGAUGCAGAAUAGAAAAAGGUUCAAAACUGGUUUGUGACCAUAAAGAAUUUGCAAUCUCAGCAUCUAUUUCUUUAUUAAAAAACUUUCUGGUUUCAUUUCAAAACCUGCCCUACUUUUCACCUUUACUAUGAAAAGACUUUUGUCUCUUCUCAGAUAAUAAAACUGUCCAUAGAAGUUGUUAAUUCCUAUACUCAGAUAUAAGAAAACCCUUAGAAGAUCGAAGGGUAUUUUCAAUAACACUGAGAGCAAACUGAUCAUAUCAAAACCAAUUAAGAAACUUUCCUAGGAUUAUUAAGUAUGCAUUGAGUGUAAAAAUCUGGCAACAUGUUGAGUUUACUCUGAGUAAUUUUGUUCGUUAACCAUGUUGAUCCACUUUAAACAAUGCAAAGCUAAAUCUAAAAAUUGUACAGAUCCAAGUCUUAAGGUCACACAGAUGCCUGAACUUUCAUUUCUAAAGUAUUCAGCAAGUAAACACUACAGUUGUAUGCUAUACAUUAGCCUGUUGGUUUGGCUCCAUAUUAUAAUGAUGCUUAUGUGGAUUUUCUAAAGAACACUUAGCAACUGCAACAAAAAAAUCUCUUCUUUUUGUACAUAGGUUUGCUUAGUACUGUAGUUUCCAUGGAAACUCCUAGAAAUAGCAAUUUCAUUCCAGCCCUUACAAACCCACUGUGAGCUUUUUCAUUUCAACUUUUUUCUUUUUUUCUUGAAUAAACUCUUAAAUUCUAACUCGUUAGAACAAAUAAUAUUGAUGCAGAUUAUUGUUUAUUAGGAUAUUUGCUUUAUUUUUUUUUCUCAAAUAAAAAAUAAUUCUAUAAUUGUCCUUUUACUACCAAAGAAUAUGAAACAACAUAAUUUUUAAAAAUAUUGUUUAAAUUCACUGUCAUUAUGAACAGAUCUGAUUACAUUUUGUACUGCAUUUUAGCUUUCUGAUAGGAUCUGAGUCACACAAAAAAAUUAUAUACCUAACUCUUAGCAUUAUUAAAAUAGCUGCAGCUGGGAGGUGUAACUCCAUCAUGAAUGAAUGACAAAGUAAAAAAAAAAAAAAAAA
ensembl:lncRNA